rnacentral:rRNA from 1 species
GACGAACGCUGGCGGCGGGCUUAACACAUGCAAGUCGAACGGAAAGUCCCGGCUUUUUGGGGGUGCUCGAGUGGCGAACGGGUGAGUAACACGUGAGUAGCCUGCCCUUGACUUUGGGAUAACUUCAUGAAACUGGGGCUAAUACCGGAUAGGAGCUCCUGCUGCAUGGUGGGGGUUGGAAAGUUUCGGCGGUUGGGGAUGGACUCGCGGCUUAUCAGAUUGUUGGUGGGGUAGUGGCUUACCAAGGCUUUGACGGGUAGCCGGCCUGAGAGGAUGACAGGCCAAAUUAGGACUGGGAUGAGGCCCAGACUCGAACGGGAGGCAGCAGUGGAGAAUAUUGCACAAUGGGAGGAAGCCAGAUGCGGCAACGCCGCGUGCGGGAUGACGGCAUUCGGGUUGGAAACCGCUUCCGCCUGUGCCGCAGCGUGAGUGACGGUAAUGGGUAAAGAAGCACCGGCUAACUACGUG